CCGAAAAUGUAAAACCCCCAAAGGCAGCAAACCAUCAGUCACGCACUCUCUCUCUCUCUCCUCUCUCUAGAUUCUCUCUAGAUUCUUUCUCCGACCUGAAACAGCAAGAGAAAAUGAAGAAAGGUAUUCACCCUCAAAUGCAAUGGAUAUCCUAUGUGACACAAAGUGGACGAUUGAUGCAUGUUAUGAUGACCAAAAUACACCAAACAGGCAAGGUUUAUCACAUUAGAGCAAGGCGUCAAAUGGCUCAAAGUAUUGGUCAGAUUGCAAAGUUUAAGCGCCGGUAUGGUGAGAAGGAGGAGGAGGAGGUGGAGAAAGCAGAGAAAUGAAGGUUUAAGUUGGAAAAAGAAUGAAUUACCAGUCUUGGGCUCUCUGAUGAUUUUGUGGAUGAAUUCAUCCUUACCUUUUCCCUCUUCAUUUCGUCUUAACUUUUCUGUUUAAGGAAUGAAUACUGGUCUUCUUGUAUGCUGUCACCCCUUCGAAUGUUAGUGAAGAAACAUUGGCUCAUCCUACUGUCAGCGUCUCCUUGUUUGAAAGUAUUUUAUGAGGUUUAAGAAACUUUAGUGUCUCUAUCUUCUUAUUUGGAAUUAUUGAUGCUUCUUCUUCACCCGUGUCAAAUGACCAUGUUCUCAUGGUUCUGGUGUACUUUUUUUUGUUGUAGUAAAUUCCUGACUAACUUUUAAGAAAAGGAGAAAUUAAACUGUAGGAAGUAGGUAGCAUGUUUGAGUAUCUCCCUCUGUUGUUGCCUGUCUUCAGUAAGCUAAAGGACAAAGCUGUUAUAGUGUUGUAGUCA